rnacentral:lncRNA from 10 species
CUCUAAGAUGCUGACCUUGCCAUCUUAGAGAGUGAUUUAAUGGAGGAGGUAGAUAUCCACCCAUAUUUAUUUAUGCAGAUAGACAUCACUGCACAAAUAAGAGUAAAGUUAUAGCUGUAGUAUAUUCUGAAAGUGGAAGUGUGUGGUGCCAUAAAAUCUAUAGCUGUGAGUUGAAUUAUGACUCCCAAAUAAAGACACAUUGAAGUCUUAACCCCCAAUAUCUCAGAAUGUGAUCUUAUUUAGAGAUAGCCUCUUUGGAGAGGUAAUCUCUCCAAAAUUAACAGAAUUAAGUUAACAUAAGAUUAUUAGGCUGGGCCCUAAUCUGGAAUGCAUGAUAUCCUUAUAAAAAGGGGGACAUUUGGACACAAACACAGACAAGCAGAGGGAAGAUAAGUGAAGAAACACAGGGAGAAGAAGUCCAUCUACAAGCUAAGGAGAGAGGCCUGGAGCAGAUCCUCCUGUCUUGGUCCUCAGAAGGAAUCAAUUCUGCAGACAUCUUGAUCUCAGACUUCCAGACUUCAGGAAUAGAUGAAAAAUUCAAAAAAAAAUGCACCCCUAUGCAUUUGAUGACCCCGGACAAGAUGAUUUCAGUCUAGGAAGAUUUGAAUGAAAGCAAUUCCAGGCAAAAAUAUUGAAGCCACUGGAACAGCAAAGGACACAUAGAUUGGGUCAGAUCAUUCCAGUAUACAUGUGGAGAGCCAGCAGAAGAGAGGCAAAAGCAAUCAGUAAAAGAAAAACAAAAAAGGUUUGCACUCAAGACUGACAUUUACCGUAAUGGAAGCUGUUCAUAUGCCCCCAGGAAAGAAUGAACAAUUUAAUAGAAAAUGCUAAAGGAGUGAUAUUAGGGGGAGUUCCAUGUCUCCAGACCUUGUGCUGAUGAUCUCUGCCCUGCACAGUACGUUGCUGCUCAUUUCCAGAAGAGACCAAGAUAACUUCUCAGACUUCUCAAAUCUACUUGCCCUACUUGACAACACAUGUUGGCUGGGCUGACUGGAUCAAGAUUCUAUAAGCAGGAUCCUCACGGUUUCAAGUCCUUGCUGUUUUGGAUGAGACAGAGGCUAUUUCCUGCUCCCAUAACCACUCACUUCUUGCUGUGAAGCUUUCCUAGGCUGUUCUUGCUAAUACUAACAAAAUUAAUUAUGCUUAUCUGAUGACAAGUAUACAACCUAAAAUGCCAUCUUUAUAAAUAAGGCAAUAUUCAAUGGAGUGUGAUUUAUGGCCUUUCAUUUUUCCUAUACACCCUAUGUGCCAUAUAAAAUCUGGCUUUACAGUUUCAUAGAGGCUAUAAUCCCUUUCAGAGGGAAUAAAUCAUUUCCAAACAUAAUAUAAAAUAAGGAGUUAUAUUCACAUACUGGCAAAGGAAAUAAAUUGAUUAUAAAAUGUAAGAGAGUGACUGAUGAUUUCUCCCUGUGUCUGAACUAUUAAAGUGUUUUUGAAUAGACUAGACAAUAUUAAAGAAUUUCUAUAAACAUGAGAUUAUAAUUUAUAAAUUAAAAAAGAAAAAUUACAUUGAAAACUAUAACAAAAUAAUAAACAUUAUAAUAUAUAAAAAGUUAUUGUAAAUCAAUGUGAAUAAAUGCAUAAAGGUCAUAAAGUCACAAAAGAAGAAAUACAAACAGUCAAUAAAUACAUUAAAAUAAGUUUAAUCUCACAAUUAUUAACCAAAGAAAUAUAGUUAGAAUCAUGUAGGUCUCAUGUUUUACUCAACAGAGUGGCACAAAUGAAAUAAAUGGCUAAUGCUGGUACUGUAGAGAGUGUGAGAAUCUACACACGAUGUUAAAUUGCUGAUAGAAAGGUAAGGUAGUGCAACUCUUCCAUAGGCUCAUACGUCAAUAUGUACUCAAAUUGAAAAGUGGCCCUUCAAUUUCUAAAAAGUCAUUCUAAGGAAAUGAAUAAAUGCAGGAAGACAUAUGCACAAAGAUGUUUUUCUCAUUUUUCUGUAGUACCAAAGAAAAGAGAGAGGUAAACCUAAAUUUUGAGUGGCAGGAAACUGGCUACGUAAAUAAUGAAAUGCUGCUGAGCUAUUUAAGUUUGUGAUAUAGCCUUAUUAAAUGACAUGGAAUCAUGCUCAUUAUAUACUAAUAAGCAAAAAAGAUACAAAACAUUUUUAUAGUUUGGUCUAAUAAUUAAAAGUAUUAUAUAUUUGCUUGCAUUGUGCCUGUGUGUACCCCCACAAACAAAAAUAUCUCAAGAAUGUUAUGAAGAUCAUUUAUUGGAAAUGGGAUAAUGGGAUUUUAAGUUAUUUAUACUUUUUAUUUUUUUUUUGGGAAACAAGGUCUUGCUGUGUUGUCCAGGCCGGGGGGCAGUGGUGCAACUAUAGCCCAUGGCAGCCUGGAACUCCUGGGCUCAAGCAAACAUGCAGCCUUAGGCUCUGGAGUAGCUGGGACUAAAAGCUAAUGCUACCAUGCCUGGCUUAUACUUUUUCUUUAUGCCUUUUUAAUUUUUGUAGUUUCCACAAUGAGUUUAUGCUACUUUUAUAAUUAAAAGUAUUUUAAUUUUCAACAAGAAGCUUUAGAUUUCCCGAAUUUUCCAAUUACCCUGCAACAUGGCUCAGAGUAUUUGUACAAAAGAAAAUCAGCCUUUUUUUCUGCAUUAAUUUUCCACAAAUUCAUCAUUUGGAAUUGGUAAAAGUUGUACAGAGUAAAACUGUUAGGGUCUAGGUAUGCUAUACCUUUCAAAGAAUUGGAGAUCUUGGAAUAAUUUCUUUCAGUUUUUACCACACUGAUACUAAGGUGGAUGAGAGGUAGAGGAUGAAGGAAAACAGUAAUCAACUGCAACCAGGAAAGAUAACAGUGAACCACAGUUGGAUUUAUCUAUAUUUUUAAGGUGGACUUCCACAAGUUUCAGCUCAUACUAAUACACACACACACACACACACACACACACACACAAUUCAAUUGCCUUAGACUAAUCGAUCAUUGUGGCAGAAAUGAACACCUAUUGACUAAACAUUUUUAGCCCCUCCAGAUUGUAGCAGUGUUGAGAUAAGGCUUAGGAUAGUAUUCCCCAUGUCUAUGCAUCUGAGUGUGGCCACAUUACUGCUUACUGGCCCACAGAACGCUACCAGAAAUUUUAUAAGAAUGUAUAUUUGAUUUGCAUUUCUCUAAUGAUCAGUGAUGUUGAGUUUUUUUUCAUGCUUGUUUGCUGCAUGAAUGUCUUCUUUUGAGAAGUAUCUGUUCAUGUCCUUUGCCCAUUUUUAAUGAGGUUUUUUUUUUCUUUAAAAUUUGUUUGAGUUCCUUGUAGAUUGUGGGUAUUAGACCAAAUGCCCAUCAACAAUAGACUGGAUAAAGAAAAUGUGGUACAUAUAAACCAUGGAAUAUUAUGCAGCCAUAAAAUGAAUGAUAUAAUGUCCUUUGCAGGGACGUGGAUAAAGCUGGAAGACAUUAUCCUCAGCAAACUAAUGCAGAAACAGAAAACCAAACACCGCAUGUUCUCACUUAUAAAUGGGAG